AAAUUGAAGAGUUUGAUCAUGGCUCAGAUUGAACGCUGGCGGCAGGCCUAACACAUGCAAGUCGGGCGGUAGCACGGGGGAGCUUGCUCCCUGGGUGACGAGCGGCGGACGGGUGAGUAAUGUCUGGGAAACUGCCUGAUGGAGGGGGAUAACUACUGGAAACGGUAGCUAAUACCGCAUAACCUCGCAAGAGCAAAGAGGGGGACCUUCGGGCCUCUCGCCAUCAGAUGUGCCCAGAUGGGAUUAGCUAGUAGGUGAGGUAAUGGCUCACCUAGGCGACGAUCCCUAGCUGGUCUGAGAGGAUGACCAGCCACACUGGAACUGAGACACGGUCCAGACUCCUACGGGAGGCAGCAGUGGGGAAUAUUGCACAAUGGGCGCAAGCCUGAUGCAGCCAUGCCGCGUGUGUGAAGAAGGCCUUCGGGUUGUAAAGCACUUUCAGCGGGGAGGAAGGCGGUAAGGUUAAUAACCUUAUCGAUUGACGUUACCCGCAGAAGAAGCACCGGCUAACUCCGUGCCAGCAGCCGCGGUAAUACGGAGGGUGCAAGCGUUAAUCGGAAUGACUGGGCGUAAAGCGCACGCAGGCGGUCUGUUAAGUUGGAUGUGAAAUCCCCGGGCUUAACCUGGGAACUGCAUUCAAAACUGACAGGCUAGAGUCUUGUAGAGGGGGGUAGAAUUCCAGGUGUAGCGGUGAAAUGCGUAGAGAUCUGGAGGAAUACCGGUGGCGAAGGCGGCCCCCUGGACAAAGACUGACGCUCAGGUGCGAAAGCGUGGGGAGCAAACAGGAUUAGAUACCCUGGUAGUCCACGCUGUAAACGAUGUCGAUUUGGAGGUUGUGCCCUUGAGGCGUGGCUUCCGGAGCUAACGCGUUAAAUCGACCGCCUGGGGAGUACGGCCGCAAGGUUAAAACUCAAAUGAAUUGACGGGGGCCCGCACAAGCGGUGGAGCAUGUGGUUUAAUUCGAUGCAACGCGAAGAACCUUACCUACUCUUGACAUCCAGAGAACUUAGCAGAGAUGCUUUGGUGCCUUCGGGAACUCUGAGACAGGUGCUGCAUGGCUGUCGUCAGCUCGUGUUGUGAAAUGUUGGGUUAAGUCCCGCAACGAGCGCAACCCUUAUCCUUUGUUGCCAGCGAUUCGGUCGGGAACUCAAAGGAGACUGCCGGUGAUAAACCGGAGGAAGGUGGGGAUGACGUCAAGUCAUCAUGGCCCUUACGAGUAGGGCUACACACGUGCUACAAUGGCGUAUACAAAGAGAAGCGACCUCGCGAGAGCAAGCGGACCUCAUAAAGUACGUCGUAGUCCGGAUUGGAGUCUGCAACUCGACUCCAUGAAGUCGGAAUCGCUAGUAAUCGUAGAUCAGAAUGCUACGGUGAAUACGUUCCCGGGCCUUGUACACACCGCCCGUCACACCAUGGGAGUGGGUUGCAAAAGAAGUAGGUAGCUUAACCUUCGGGAGGGCGCUUACCACUUUGUGAUUCAUGACUGGGGUGAAGUCGUAACAAGGUAACCGUAGGGGAACCUGCGGUUGGAUCACCUCCUUACCAAGAAG
rnacentral:rRNA from 1 species